rnacentral:sRNA from 1 species
AUCACCAAAGUGAAAUCUCUUGGGGUCAGAUUUUCAGGCUCAGCUAAUCUUAAGUGGAACAGCAAUGUAACUCUAAUAUAUACUUGGCUAGUGGUUUGGGAAAAUAUAAAAUAUGUAAUGGAGAAUAAAGAGGGGACAAAUCUGGGGUCCAGGCCACCUGCAUUUACAGGGAAAGGAAAGAGAAGUCUAGACUGCAAGAAGCUAGCUUAGAAAGGCAAGAGCUUCCUGAUAAAACAAAAAACAGAUGGGCUCGGUUUUAACUACGUCCGAGGAAGCCUGGAAAAAGGCUGAGCUACAUCUGGUGAGGGAACACAUCCUAGUCCAUCCUCGUCACCUCCAUGUGUAGUUGAUGGUGUGAGUUGAUGGUAUGUUAAGGGCGAAUCUGCUUAGUAUGUUCUGGUUUUGUUUUGUAAAGAUGCUUAUGCUGUCAAGUUACCAGAAAGAAAAUGAGAAGUUACAUUGCUUGUCAUGAGUUGGAUGGUGAUAGUCACAACUGUAAAAACAGUGCAGAUAAUGAUGGUUGCAGGGCCCCUCUUCAAUGGAGGCAUUGCCAGCCUUCUGGCCAUGAAGGAGAAAGUGAUUUCAACUAACCCAGGAAACUCUUACCUCUAAAUGGAGAUACUUCCCGAUAACAGAAGAAACUGGGCAUCUAAC